CAGUAGCCGCGGGAAUACGGAGGGAGCUAGCGUUGUUCGGAAUUACUGGGCGUAAAGCGCACGUAGGCGGUUAUUCAAGUCAGAGGUGGAAGCCCGGGGCUCAACCCCGGAACUGCCUUUGAAACUAGAUGACUAGAAUCUUGGAGAGGUCAGUGGAAUUCCGAGUGUAGAGGUGAAAUUCGUAGAUAUUCGGAAGAACACCAGUGGCGAAGGCGACUGACUGGACAAGUAUUGACGCUGAGGUGCGAAAGCGUGGGGAGCAAACAGGAUUAGAUACCCCUGUAGUCCCUGUCUCUUAUAC
rnacentral:rRNA from 1 species